rnacentral:piRNA from 1 species
UAAUGUAAAAGGAAGGUAAAA